rnacentral:rRNA from 1 species
AUUGAACGCCGGCGGCAUGCUUUACACAUGCAAGUCGAACGGUAACAGGCCGCAAGGUGCUGACGAGUGGCGAACGGGUGAGUAAUGCAUCGGAACGUGCCCAGUCGUGGGGGAUAACGCAGCGAAAGCUGCGCUAAUACCGCAUACGAUCUGCGGAUGAAAGCGGGGGACCUUCGGGCCUCGCGCGAUUGGAGCGGCCGAUGUCAGAUUAGGUAGUUGGUGGGGUAAAGGCCCACCAAGCCGACGAUCUGUAGCUGGUCUGAGAGGACGACCAGCCACACUGGGACGGGGACACGGCCCAGACUCCUACGGGAGGCAGCAGUGGGGAAUUUUGGACAAUGGGGGCAAGCCUGAUCCAGCAAUGCCGCGUGCAGGAAGAAGGCCCUCGGGUUGUAAACUGCUUUUGUACGGAACGAAACGGCUCUGGUUAAUACCCGGGGCUAAUGACGGUACCGUAAGAAUAAGCACCGGCUAACUACGUGCCAGCAGCCGCGGUAA